UACGAAGGGGGCUAGCGUUGUUCGGAUUUACUGGGCGUAAAGCGCACGUAGGCGGAUCGAUCAGUCAGGGGUGAAAUCCCAGAGCUCAACUCUAGAACUGCCUUUGAUACUGUCGAUCUGGAGUAUGGAAGAGGUGAGUGGAAUUCCGAGUGUAGAGGUGAAAUUCGUAGAUAUUCGGAGGAACACCAGUGGCGAAGGCGGCUCACUGGUCCAUUACUGACGCUGAGGUGCGAAAGCGUGGGGAGCAAACAGG
rnacentral:rRNA from 1 species